rnacentral:lncRNA from 1 species
UCUCUUCAUCAUAGUAACGAAAUGGUAUUGUUGUUAACUUGUAGUAUCUGUGAGUUGAGUUGAACCUAAAGCCACAUAGCUCCGGCUCGGGUAAGCAUGGGCCUUAAGUUGCGUUGGAGGUGAAGGCUCAUCACUUCAUUGGCUCCUCCUACAAGUUCACCACCAAUAAACACGGCUGGCACCACCGGAUCGCGGCCCAGCAUUGCCAGGGCAGUCUCGAUCUCACUGCCUCCAGGGAUUUUAUCGAGCUCAUAAACAACGGGAUUGACUCCAAAAUCGUGCAAGAGUGACUUGACAGUGUGGCUAAUGCAGCAGUUAGUCUUGCUAAAGAUCACGACCGGCCUUUCGGACACCAUACUCGUAACCCUCUCCAUCGAUGAAUGAUGAUAUCUCAAGAUUGAUUAUGUAAUGUAUGAAGAUUGGUGAUAAGCAAUUAAGUUGUGAGGAAGUUGAAGAGGCAAGGAGCGGUAUAUAUAGGGUUGGUGAAGGUGGUGAGUUGUGUUGGAUUUUUUAUAAAGCUAAGGAAUGUGCAUCACUGUAAUGGAUAAAGAUGGAUUUUAUUGGUAGCAUAUAUACGACACACGAUAAAAAAGAAAUUGCACGAUAACGAAUCUCUGCAUACGGAGAUGUUCACGUGAUGACCCAUGGUACGGCUUCAUAUAUGUUGGUGAUGCAGUCAAUAUAUUGUUCUUGGCCAUCCUUCUAUGAUCUGCAACUUCUAUUUCCACAUGUAGACAUGGUCAUAGCAACUAUGAAUCGAAACUAAUCUGUCGAUUUAAUGAUUCAAGAUUUACAGAGAUUCAUUGGAAUUUUUUGGAUUGAUGAGAAAUUUUUAGUCGAAUCGAAAUAUAAUCAGUAAAGUAAUGAAAUUUUCUAAAAUUAGUCGGGACUAAGAAUUGAAACUAAUCGGUCGAUCUACUGAUUCAAAAUUUAUUGGGAUUUAUCGGAGGUUUUUUGGAAAAAUCAGAAAUUUUUAGUGAAAUCGAAGCAUAAUUAGUAAAUCGAUGAAAUUUUCUAAAAUUAAAAAAAGAAUUUUAUUAAAUCAGAGAUUUAAAGAAAAACUAUGAAUAGGUCUUAAUGUUUUCUCUAAAAUGAAAGUUUUUACUCCUAACCCUAGUCUAGCCCUAAUUCCUCAAUGGGAUGAGGUGAAUUUUUGUUGAAGGAUAAUUUGAUAAAAAAAAUUAAAAUGUGUGAAAAAGAUAACAAACUACAUAGAAAAAGAAAGGCGAGUAUGAUGAUUAAGCGAUACUUGUCAGCUAAUUGUGGUCCUUGGCGACUUUUACAUGUAAUUUUCAGGCAUAUAUGCUGAGUUUUUAAAUGGAGAAAGAAUUAUUCAUCCUAUUGAAAUCUUUAUAUAUAUUUCUCUCUCAUAUGGGACCAUAUUUCGAACGAAGAGCUGCCUAGAACUAACAUAAGGUUAAUAAAAACAAGAAAGAGGAGAAUGUAGAAUAAAAUUUCGAUAUUGGUCAGUGAUGAACUAGUUUGCACGACAAGGAUCACUGGGACCUCGGUACGAACGGAGUGAUAAACAUAUUUUACAUAAUAUAUAUAUACACACACAUAAUAAUUGGGUACUCAUCUAGGUAGGUCAAGUAAAACACACAAAUUACAUUAUGACAUAAAGAGGGUGACAUAAAUACAGUCUAGCUCAGUAGCUCCCGUAUUUUAAAAAUCUUAAAAGUAGAAUCACUUUCUAUGAGAAGUACUCAUGCAGACAAGAAAGGCUUACAUGAAAGUAACCCAGUGUUUGUUUGGUCCCCAAGCUUAUCUUAUCUAACUUUAUAACCCACCUUUGUGCAUGUAUGUAUGCAUCAUCUGGCCAAUUUCUUACGUUUUUCAUUUUUGGAUGUCUCGUACUAUGUACUGUGAUGUUUGUAAUUCGAGUAGAGCAGCUCGAGCGUUUAAUUAAAUCCAACUCUGCUUGAACUCGUAUAUGAGUCGAGUUUAAAUAAGAUUUUAUAUCGGUUUAUUUGAUUAAAUGAGCCACGUUGAUGUAAAUGUUUAUACUUGAUUAAGUGUAAAACUAAACGAGCUGGCUCGAUCGAUUAAUUAAAAACAGCUUAUUUCUCGAGUUUGUAUAAGAGUCGAGCUCAAAUAAGAUUUCAUAUAUGCUUGUUUAUUUAAACAAGCCACAUUGAUGUAGAGGUUUAGACUCGAUGGUUAGAACCGGCUCGUUUAACUAAAAGAGCUCGCUCGGUUCGAGUCGAGUUCGAGCUGAGGUUUUGACUCGAUUAAGUUAAACAAGACAACUCGCCCAACUCAAUUAACCUUGAUUCUAAUUAUGCCCGGUUCGAAACUCAACUCGCUCAGCUCGGAUUACCGCCCUACUUCUUAUUAUUUAUAUUUUAAAAUUUAUCAGAAAUAAUAAAAUUUUAUAAUUAAAAAUUAACUAUAUUCAUUACUUUCUUCUGAUAUACUCAAUUUAUACAUUAAAUAUCAAUCAUUAGUAUCCACUUUACCAAUUUCUUUUGUUUCUCUAGCAUUUUUAUACAUUUUUUCUAAUUUACAUGCCCAACCUAUCUGUGAACAGAUGAAGGGGGAGGAAUUACCGUUUUCUCUAAUACAUUCUCUCAUGAAACUCGAGGUCUAACAUUUGUAUUUUGGGUCGUGAAUAUUUAUAUAUGCAUUAUAUGUGGAGCCUAUGCUAGAUCUGAAUAAUCAAUAAGAAGUUGUAUUUAGAAAAUUUAUCAAAACUAUCACAUUUUUUAAGUUUUUUGCUAUUUUACUAUCUUUUGAAAAUAUUGUAAAAAUACUAAUUUUUCAGAAAAUAUUUGCAAAAAUACGAUCUUCAACUAGAUGCAACCAAAUGCAACUUGAGUUAAUUGGUCCGCAUGAAUUACAAAUAUAGUUGCACCUGAUUGCAAGUAUAGUUGCAUGUGAUUAACGGGUGCAUAUAGUUUUUUUGCAAAUAUUUUCAAAAGUAUGAUACUAUUACAAAAUAUUUGAAAAAAACAUAAUAUUUUUGCGAAAAAUGUUUUGGACUGAGUAUUUAUGAGAAAACCGAAAACCCCUUGUAUUUGUAUCUUUCAGUCGGUACCUGUCAUCUAAAAUUCGGGUUGCACACAAUCGUGGCGAAAUUUUGUAGGAUAUUGUGAGAUUUUGUGGGGAGAAGAUAAGCAUCAGAAAAAGAAGAGGGGCAUGGCUGAGUCUAAAGAAGACUUCCAACAAGUUGAUGCAGAUAAGAUGAAAACUUAAUGCCAUGGCGGUUCGUGGCAUCGCCAUAUCAUUGUGCACAGUUCAGGAGUGUAUAUAUUCUAAAGGAACAUAAAUAAGUCUACAAGGAACAUUUCACAAAUCACAUAUAUAUAUAUAUAUUACCAACUCGUACAGUCUCUGUCAAGAAACUAAAGAUAUUCUCCCAAAUCAUGCUUGUGGCAUACUUUGAGCAGAUUAAUUGUAUGUGAUUUAAAGACCCCAAGAUCUUCUUGUGCAAGCCAUGUAAAUUUUGUUCCUCGAUCGGGAAUAAUUCUGCAUUAUCUUGAUAACUAUGUUUGUCUUAGAAAGACGGAAUAGUGGGCAUGUACGCGUGAUUCACAAUCAAUUGCAUGCAUUCUUUUUUUCCUAUUUCUGAACUUCACUUGUUCAAAUUAAUAAUUCACUCAGAUGAAAGUUUUUACAAAUAAUCCUGAAAAAAGAAAAAAAAGUAGUUCUUACACACAAAGUAGGCAUACAAUUAUAGUUUAUGUAUAAUAAUUUCUUGAAUGGAGAAAUAUUGAGUUACAUAGGAUUUCGUGUUUUAUGGUUAGUAUAUAUUUAUUUGAAAUUGAUUUUAGUUGUACACAAAUAAUUUCAUGAGUAAUUGAUUUGUGAAUUUUCUCAAAAUUUGUGUAAAAAAAGGCAGAAAAAUAAUUACAUUAGUAUUUUUUAAAACAACAAGGAUUUUUAUAAAGUUUCCGUCUGGAUAGUGUUUAAAUAAUAACUAUAUAAUAAGUAUAUAUGCAAGAUACAACUUUUAUCUUAGUAGUGUUUAUAUAAGUUAUGCAAGAAAGAUUGUGCUAUUUUUAUAGUAUUUAUAAAAAUAUUAUUUUUAUAACAUUUAUAAAGGUGUUAUUAAUUAAAUUUGGAUGGUGGUUACUCUCAUAACCCUUUUAUGACGCUACGUAACUCUGUUGCGUGGAUCACUAUACAUAUAACCUCAAAAUGACAGCUAUAUAAGUCUAAAUGAGGAGUACUAUUUAGAAUCCAUAUGAAAAGUGAAAAUUAAUAGAGUAAUGUACAUAUGAAGAUUUUUUAUCAAAGUUAUUAUUAUUUAACAUUUUUUUUAUCUGAAACUCAUAUUACAUUAACAGUGGAUUACAGGUGUCCAAUUUUAAAUUUUAAAAAUAUUAAUAAUAACAAGGAAUUGAAUCGAGUCUCCCAACUAUUUGAACUCUGUACUCUCUUUAUAUGAUAGUUCUCUUAAAAUUUUUAAAAUGCAAGUUGGAGACAUUGAUUUAAUUAGAAUUUUUAUAUUGUAAUAUUCGUGAAGUCUACAUGAACUCAGAUUGUUGCCUAGAACAACUUUUUUUGAGGGAGUCACAAAGAAUCAGUUAUAAAGGGUACUUGAAGAAACUUGCAUAACUUGUUACUAUCUUAUUUUUUGAUACCCUCAUUAAAAUAAAUAAAAUAGACAUCAGGAUAUGAGGUCGAUUUUGGUCACGAUAACAUCGGCUAAAAAUUAACUGAUGUCUAUGUUAGUUAUGACAUAGGUAAUAUUAGAUCCGAUGUCUAACUUUAACAUCGCCGACCUAAACAUCGGUCCGUGUAAGUGAUGCUCAAAAACAUCGGCCAAAAACCGAUGUUUAUUAACGUGCCUAUUUCAACAAUGAUUGAAAUUCAUCUGUUUUUAUAGAUGUUACCUAUUGGGUCCAACGACUUUUGAACCUCUUGUAAGGAGAGAAGAAAAGAACCAUUCUCUUAGGAGAAAACUGGAACCAAUCAUCAUGUAUACAUGUUCGAUUGUAGAUCUUGUAAGUACUUAAUGAGUGACUCAGAUGAUUAUGAAAUGGAUAUUCUCCGCACUUGUGCAUGCAGUAUAGAACUAUGACAAAGCAUUCAUAUACGCACUUUCUUUAAUGACAACUCUGCAAAUUAUAACUUGAACCAUACAUUUCAUCUUAAAGAUGUGUAUAGAGGAUCAUCAGCUUAUACAAAAAGGCUGAUUAAUUGGUACAUAUAUAUUUUAUAGCGAAGCUUCUUUAGAACACUCACUCUAGAGAAACGAUUCAUAUCAGAUACUUAUUAUUAUUAAUAGUCUCCCUCCCGGUAUUAUAGUCUCUUGAUCGUCGUAACAAAAUAGUACUGUUGUUAACCUAAAGCCACAUAGCUCCGGCUCGGGUAAGCAUGGGCCUUAAGUUUCGUUGGAGGUGAAGGCUCAUCACUUCAUUGGCUCCUCCCACAAGUUCACCACCAAUAAACACGGCUGGCACCACCGGAUUGCGGCCUAGCAUUGCCAGAGCUGUCUCGAUUUCACGGCCCCUAGAGAUUUCAUCAAGCUCANUCGUUGGAGGUGAAGGCUCAUCACUUCAUUGGCUCCUCCCACAAGUUCACCACCAAUAAACACGGCUGGCACCACCGGAUUGCGGCCUAGCAUUGCCAGAGCUGUCUCGAUUUCACGGCCCCUAG